rnacentral:rRNA from 1 species
GACGAACGCUGGCGGCGUGCCUAAUACAUGCAAGUCGAACGCAGUGGGGACGGGUGAGUAACACGUGGGUAACCUCCCAUCAGAGGGGAUAACACUUGGAAACAAGUGCUAAACCGAUACUGCAUGAUGGACCUGCGGUGCAUUAGCUAGUUGGUGAGGUAAAGGCUCACCAAGGCAACGAUGCAUAGCCGGCUUGAGAGGGCGAUCGGCCACACUGGGACUGAGACACGGCCCAGACUCCUACGGGAGGCAGCAGUGGGGAAUCUUCGGCAAUGGACGAAAGUCUGACCGAGCAACGCCGCGUGAGUGAAGAAGGUUUUCGGGUCGUAAAGCUCUGUUGUUAGAGAAGCGGUAUCUAACCAGAAAGCCACGGCUAACUACGUGCCAGCAGCCGCGGUAAUUC